GAACUAUAGAUUAAAGUGAAGAUGGUUAAAUGAUAGAAGUCUAUACAUGAUGCAUGCCUUAAGUUAAUUGAGUUGGUAGAAUCUCCAAGUAAAACCUUAGAGCAACGAUAAAAUGGUCUCCUUAUGACUUAUAGGACAUGAGUCCAGCGCGAAAUUGCGCCUUAUCGCAUCCGUUUUCUUGCUCGUUAGUGAUGUUUUUUGAUUUUUAAAAGAAGGGGCAGAGCUUGAAGACACGAAGGGAGCCUAAAGUAGCAGCCCAUUACGUUUU
rnacentral:lncRNA from 1 species